AUCCACUGACCUUUCUCGUCCUCAUCCAGUCUCAUAAUAGCCACACUCUUUCCCAGCGACGGAAUUGGCCCCGAGAUCGCCGAGUCUGUCAAAUAGGUCUGUCUCCCUGAUCUAAACAAAUAAGUAUUUAAUUUCUUCUUCAAUUUUGUUUAUUGAGCUAAAUUUAAUUAGGAUUUUUAAAUUUAUCGAUACCUGAAUUUUGCGUUUAUUUUUAAAUUUAUCGAUACCUAUUAUUGCUGUGUUAGAAUGUUUCAUGUAUAUCUUAGCCCAUUGGCUUAUCCAAUUAAAUUGUUUUAAUGUGGAGUUAUUAUAUUAGUUAUGGUUAUAAUAAGCUGUCAUAAAGGUAAAAAGAUUUUGCAUUCAGGGCAAGUUGCCCUGUGGUAUACUAAGUAUUAAGCUGAGUAUGUCUUGUCUAAACAUCUGUGUAAGCAGGUUUCUUAUUUGUGUGCUAUGGAGUUUAUAUAGCAGGAUAGAGCUGUGAAGAGGAACAUAUCUUGCAGAUACUGCUUAUGUGAAGUACUAUUAAUGGUUCUAGUUAUCUCUUUAUGGCUUAUGGGUUUUAUGAUUGAUUUUACAUCUACAUGGGGUGUUUUACUUGGGUGGUUACUUCUUUAGUAUGAGAGUGUAAUGUCGGUGUCUAGAUCAAGUUGGGUUACCUCUCUUUAUUAUGAGUUUGUGGUAUUAAUUAGGUAUAACAACAAUCCAAUUGCAGCAAACUAAGUUGGCAAACUUCUUCAUUAUGUCGCAAAAAGAACUAUUUGUCAAUCUUAAAAGUUUUAUUUGUAUGAAAUGUAACUUAUAGAUUUUCCAGUGUUAUUUCCUUCACAGAGUUGCAGCAUAUAUUUCAGUUGCUUAAUUUGGAAAAGUAAAUAAAGAAGCUAGGACCUUGGAGGAGGUUGAGGUUCAUGUCUUGGCCUGGCAUAUAUCAUGAUACCUUCCUUCCCACUUCGCUUGCAAGCUAUCUUGACAGUAUAUCUCUUUCUCAAUGUGUGUGUGUCUGACAGUGUGUCUAUAUAUGUAUGUGUUUGUAUGUAUAUAUAUAUAUAUAUAUAUAUAUAUAUAUAUAUAUCUUGCUAGCUCUUUAACUAGUGUUCAACUUAUCUUGCAGAAAAAAUAAUUCUCUUGCUGCGAGAUGGCAGAAAGAUGUCGGGAAUACUUCGCUCUUUUGAUCAAUUUGGUAUUCUUUUGCUCUUUGUAAUAUUUGAUAUAUAAUUUUGUUCUUGCCUUAUUUUCCUCAUCUUUUCAUAUCUUACACAGCAAAUGUAGUUUUAGAAGGUGCAAGUGAGCGAGUUAUUGUUGGAGAUUUAUACUCUGACAUUCCCUUGGGUUUGUAUGUGUUCCAAGGGGAGAAUGUUGUCUUACUUGGAGAGCUGUUACUAUGCUAAUAUCUAUACCAUUUCAUACUUGAUAAAUGAUAUAUAGCGGUCGGCUACUCGGCUACAAGCUACCACACAAAUUUAUUGCAAUAUUGCUGCUCAUUUUACAGGAAUUGGAAAAAGAGGAGCUUCCCCAACAGAUGAUUCGAGUCUCUGCAGCCGAGAUUGAAAGGGCAAGUAUUAAUUUUUGGGUUUUGAAGGGUACAAUGAGAAAGAGGAUGGAGUUUCUUGAUUUUGACUAGGGUUUGGUUUCUGCCACUAUAAACAAGUUCUUGCCUAGUCUUCAAAUGUUACUGCAUAACCCAAUCACGAUAUGAGAGAAGUAGCCUACUUUUAACUGCUCUUUCUUAUUCACUCCCAAAAUAUGAGAAAAAAUAUUGUUACUGCUUCGGAGAUUUCUGGUUUUCGAUAGCCUACAUAUGAUAUUGAUCUUCUUCAAGAGUUUCAAGUUAUUUAAUAGAUCUGUGCAAGAAAUACAUAUUUUGCGAUAUACUUCUGCAUAUUUUAUUUUGCUUUAAUUUUUCUGGAUUGGGUAUUCAAGUACAGUGGAGAAAACUGGUACUAUCAUAGAAACAAACUGGCAGAAAACAUAGUCUGGAUGUCUUGAGGUUACAAGGAGGUAAAUAGUGUCACUCUUUUCAAGUUUGGAUGUCUUGAGGUUACAAGGAGGUAAAUAUUUACUUCAAAUGUCCGAAGUAUUACCAGUUAGUUGCCUUCAUUUUUUGAGUAUGCCCAAAAUGAUCAACAUUGAUUUUAGUUUUCUUGCAGGCUGAAGAUGUAGUUGCAGCUUCACUAGCUUGUAUGGUUAACUCGGCAUCAAAAUCUGGAUGUGGAAGUCCGACAACUAAGUUUCAACAGGUAAAAAAUGAUGACAUCUCUAUCCUUCAUAAUUGGCUAUUUCUGCCUUGUAUUUAUAAUAGCUUGCAUCUCUGUUUAAGUUCAGUUCCUGUAGAAACUGGAAAUCAAUAUGCGAUGUGGAAGCAUGCAUGUAUGGGGGGGAUGUGAAGGAAGUUUUACUUUGUAGAAAAGGAUCGAUAGCUUGUUGUUGGCUUGUUGCUCUCAAACUGUCCUCUGUUUGGCUCUGUGCAACCUUAUAAUCAAUGAUUUAAACUGAGUACCUUUCCAUUUUUACAUCCUAAAUGCAAAAUUUUCAAGUGUUCAGACCUUUAUUCUGUAAAUAGUUAACAUACUUCUUGGUCCUAUCCUUUGGCAGAUGCAAUUUCUUGAACAUAGUCAAAAAGUAGAAAAAUAGUAACAACUUUGAACGGUUAAGGUCCUUAGUAAUUGUUUUUUUAAUAUUAAAGUUGCCUUUUGUUUUCGUAAUACCCUUCUACAAUGUCAUUUAUGAAGGGGAUACAAAAUAACCGUUAAUUUGUGCAAGAAUCUUUGGUCUUUUUGUAUCUAGGCAGCGUUAUUGGGAGCAACAGUCACAGAUUUUCGUAGACUGAUUCUUGUGAGGCAGAUUCAGAGUUACUUAUGAAUGAUGGGUGUGCAAUAGAUGGCCGGAUCUCUGAAGGUGGUUCACAGGACGAGUUGGAGGUUUUGGAUUUAAGUUCCUUUUUCUUUGUCCUCUUCUUUCAAGUUAACUUACUGUUUCUUUAUGUAAUUGUUUAAAUCAGAAUCUGAAACUAAAAAUUGUAGGGAUGUAUGGAUAGUUUGGCAUUAUUGAGAUGUAAACGUAUUGUAUGGUAUUAAUAUAAUAUUUUUUGUAAUUGGCAUUACAAAGAAUUAUUGGGAUGUAAACGUAUUUUAUGGUAUUAAUAUUCUUUGUAAUUUUAGCUAUAUAUCAUGA
rnacentral:lncRNA from 1 species